GGAGAGUUGUCCGAGUGGUCGAAGGUGCAGCACUCGAAAUGCUGUAGACCGAAAGGUCUCUAGGGUUCGAAUCCCUAACUCUCCGCCA
rnacentral:tRNA from 5 species